ensembl:snRNA U6 U6 spliceosomal RNA
AUGUGUUUGCCUUGAUAGCACAUAUAUUUAAAAAUUGGAAUAAUACUGAGAAGAUUAGCAUGGCCCCUGCCCAAGGAUGACACACAAAUUUGUGAAGCCUUCCAUGUUUUU